CCCGACUGCUAUCAGAGUGGGACUAAGCCAUGCGAGUCGACAUAGCAAUAUGUGGCAUACGGCUCAGUAACACGUAGUCAACAUGCCCAGGGGACGUGGAUAACUUCGGGAAACUGAGGAUAAACCGCGAUAGGUCAUCACUUCUGGAAUGGGUAAUGACUUAAACCUAUAUGGCCCCUGGAUUGGACUGCGGCCGAUCAGGCUGUUGGUGAGGUAAUGGCCCACCAAACCUGUAACCGGUACGGGCUCUGA
rnacentral:rRNA from 1 species